rnacentral:lncRNA from 1 species
AGGGGAAUACAACUGAGCCAGGGGACCUAUCAGGACACUGGACAUUCCAGUGGACCUGCAACCCAGUGGUUUAUACUUUUGGAGACCGCCAAGACCCCAGCUGGGCUACAGGAUACCACGGGGGCAUUUGGGUCCAGCCAGAAAGUCGCUGACAGAGCCAUCCAGGACAGCUCUUUACCAUAAAAAAGGGAGAAGAGUGUUGCCGUUAUGCCAACAAAUCCGGAGUGGUAAGAGAAAUUACACGUCAAAUGAGGGAAAGGCUAAAGACUCAACGGGCCAGGCACGCCCCCCGCAAGCUACUAAUCAAUGGAAGGCGUGAGGGCAUUUACCAAUCAGACACUCACGGAACUCGUCACGGCGGGGUACCAGCCUCUGCAGCAGAGGGAAGAACCCCUCACCUACUGCUGCUCCCACCAGAUCCAGACUUUUUCUGGGAGCUGGCGGGGAGAAAUACCAAGAAGAAGAAGAAAAAGAAGAAGAAGAAGUAGGAAAAGGAACACAAGAUGGGGAGGAGAAACUGGAGUGGUGUUUGCCUGGGUUGAAGCAGGAGUGGAUGAGACAGAUAAGAAGAAACAACUGGGAUCUCUUCUUAUUAAAAAGCUUCUACACAGCAAGAGAAACUAUCAACAGCAUGAAGAGACAACGCACAAUGUGGGAGAAAAUUUUACCAGCUGUUCCUCAGACAAAGGUCUAUUAUCUAGAAUAUAUAAAGAACCUUUUAAAAAAAUCAGACUCCCUAAAUUUAAAGACCCAGUUCAAAAAUGGGUAUCUGAAAUGAAUAGACGUUUCUCAGACAAAGAGGUAGAAAUAGAAAACAAAUAUAUGAAAAAAAUUUCAACAUUGCUGGUCCUUCGAGAGAUGCAAAUAAAAACAACACUGAGAUUCCACCUCACCCCACAAAGAAUGGCUGCUAUUAUGAAAUCAACCAAUAACAAAUGCAGGCGGGAGUGUGGGGGGAAAAAGAACCCUUCUCCACUGUUGGUGGGAGUACAGACUGGUGCAAUCACUGUGGAAAUCAGUAUGGAGAUACCUCAAAGAACUAGAACUAGAGGUCCCAUUUGA